rnacentral:rRNA from 1 species
CAACGAAAGUCGUGCUAAUACCGCAUAUGGCCCAAGGGUCAAAGCAGCAAUGCGCCAAGAGAUGAGCCUGCGGCCCAUUAUUUAAUCCUAGUUGGCGGGGUAACGGCCCACCAAGGGUACGAUGGGUAGCUGGUCUGAGAGGACGAUCAGCCACACUGGGACUGAGACACGGCCCAGACUCCUACGGGAGGCAGCAGUGGGGAAUAUUGCGCAAUGGGCGAAAGCCUGACGCAGCCAAUCCGCGUGGGUGAUGAAGGCCUUCGGGUUGUAAAGCCCUGUCGUAGGGGACGAAUCAAUGACGGUACCCUACAAGAAAGCACCGGCUAACCCCGUGCCAGCAGCCGCGGUAAUACGGGGGGUGCAAGCGUUGCUCGGAAUCACUGGGCGUAAAGCGUCCGCAGGCGGACCGAACAGUCGGUGGUGAAAGCCCAGGGCUCAACCCUGGAACUGCCAUCGAUACUGCCGGUCUUGAGUUCGGGAG